rnacentral:rRNA from 1 species
AUUGAACGCUGGCGGCAUGCCUUACACAUGCAAGUCGAACGGCAGCAUAGGAGCUUGCUCCUGAUGGCGAGUGGCGAACGGGUGAGUAAUAUAUCGGAACGUGCCCUAGAGUGGGGGAUAACUAGUCGAAAGACUAGCUAAUACCGCAUACGAUCUACGGAUGAAAGUGGGGGAUCGCAAGACCUCAUGCCCCUGGAGCGGCCGAUAUCUGAUUAGCUAGUUGGUGGGGUAAAAGCUCACCAAGGCGACGAUCAGUAGCUGGUCGGAGAGGACGACCAGCCACACUGGGACUGAGAAACGGCUCAGACUCCUACGGGAGGCAGCAGUGGGGAAUUUUGGACAAUGGGGGCAACCCUGAUCCAGCAAUGCCGCGUGAGUGAAGAAGGCCUUCGGGUUGUAAAGCUCUUUUGUCAGGGAAGAAACGGUUCUGGAUAAUACCUGGGACUAAUGACGGUACCUGAAGAAUAAGCACCGGCUAACUACGUGCCAGCCGCCGCAGUAAAAC